UACGAAGGGGGCUAGCGUUGUUCGGAUUUACUGGGCGUAAAGCGCACGUAGGCGGACUUUUAAGUCAGGGGUGAAAUCCCAGAGCUCAACUCUGGAACUGCCUUUGAUACUGGAAGUUCUUGAGUAUGGAAGAGGUUGGUGGAACUGCGAGUGUAGAGGUGAAAUUCGUAGAUAUUCGCAAGAACACCAGUGGCGAAGGCGGCCAACUGGUCCAUUACUGACG
rnacentral:rRNA from 1 species